rnacentral:rRNA from 1 species
GUUAGGAAUAUUGGACAAUGGGCGCAAGCCUGAUCCAGCCAUGCCGCGUGAGUGAUGAAGGCCUUCGGGUUGUAAAGCUCUUUAGCCGAUGAUUAUAAUGACUGUAGUCGGAAAAUAAGCCCCGGCUAACUUCGUGCCAGCAGCCGCGGUAAUACGAAGGGGGCGAGCGUUAUUCGGAAUCACUGGGCGUAAAGCGUGCGUAGGCGGCUUUGCAAGUUGGGAGUGAAAGCCCAGGGCUCAACCCUGGAAUUGCUCUCAAAACUGCAAGGCUCGAAUUCGGGAGAGGAUAGUGGAAUUGUCAGUGUAGCAGUGAAAUGCGUAGAUAUUGACAGGAACACCAGUGGCGUAAGCGGCUAUCUGGACCGAUAUUGACGCUGAGGCACGAAAGCGUGGGGAUCAAACAGGAUUAGAUACCCGGGUAGUCC